rnacentral:tRNA from 1 species
GCUUUUAAAGGAAAAAAGCCCUCCUCUGGUCUUAGACGCCAGCAUUCUUGGUGCAAAUCCAAGUAAAAGCU